rnacentral:ncRNA from 1 species
UACCUGGUUGAUUCUGCCAGUAGUCAUAUGCUUGUCUCAAAGAUUAAGCCAUGCAUGUCUAAGUAUAAGCAAUUUAUACCGUGAAACUGCGAAUGGCUCAUUAAAUCAGUUAUCGUUUAUUU